CGUAGGGUGCAAGCGUUAAUCGGAAUUACUGGGCGUAAAGCGUGCGCAGGCGGUUAUAUAAGACAGAUGUGAAAUCCCCGGGCUCAACCUGGGAACUGCAUUUGUGACUGUAUAGCUAGAGUACGGUAGAGGGGGAUGGAAUUCCGCGUGUAGCAGUGAAAUGCGUAGAUAUGCGGAGGAACACCGAUGGCGAAGGCAAUCCCCUGGACCUGUACUGACGCUCAUGCACGAAAGCGUGGGGAGCAAACAGGAUUAGACACCCUGGUAGUCCACGCCCUAAACGAUGUCAACUGGUUGUUGGGUCCUCACUGACUCAGUAACGAAGCUAACGCGUGAAGUUGACCGCCUGGGGAGUACGGCCGCAAGGUUG
rnacentral:rRNA from 1 species